rnacentral:ncRNA from 2 species
AGUGUUCGGUCGUACCCGGGUUCUCCUGCCCGCAGGCAGGGGUAAAAGGGAACCAGGUGAGAAUCCUGGACGGUGGGGCCACUGUAUUUGGGUAGCAGCUUUCCACUGGGCCACUGGUCCAGCAUGCAGCGAGGAGGGAGCCGGUUCCUGCUGGAAGGAAUCGGAGGUAAAAAGCAAGCUGGGUGCCGGGCUGGGAAGGCGGAAAGCGGGCGAUGACCCAUGAGUCAGGAGACCUGCCCGGGUACGCGGCACGGG